rnacentral:rRNA from 1 species
UACGGAGGGGGCUAGCGUUGUUCGGAAUUACUGGGCGUAAAGCGCACGUAGGCGGCUUUGUAAGUUAGAGGUCAAAGCCCGGAGCUCAACUUCGGAAUUGCCUAUAAGACUGCAUCGCUUGAAUCAUGGAGAGGUCAGUGGAAUUCCGAGUGUAGAGGUGAAAUUCGUAGAUAUUCGGAAGAACACCAGUGGCGAAGGCGACUGACUGGACAUGUAUUGACGCUGAGGUGCGAAAGCGUGGGGAGCAAACAGG